AGAAGAAGACGAGGAAGA
rnacentral:sRNA from 1 species